rnacentral:rRNA from 1 species
AGUGAACGCUGGCGGUAGGCCUAACACAUGCAAGUCGAACGGCAGCACAGUAAGAGCUUGCUCUUACGGGUGGCGAGUGGCGGACGGGUGAGGAAUACAUCGGAAUCUACUUUUUCGUGGGGGAUAACGUAGGGAAACUUACGCUAAUACCGCAUAUGACCUACGGGUGAAAGCAGGGGAUCUUCGGACCUUGCGCGAUUGAAUGAGCCGAUGUCGGAUUAGCUAGUUGGCGGGGUAAAGGCCCACCAAGGCGACGAUCCGUAGCUGGUCUGAGAGGAUGAUCAGCCACACUGGAACUGAGACACGGUCCAGACUCCUACGGGAGGCAGCAGUGGGGAAUAUUGAACAAUGGGCGCAAGCCUGAUCCAGCCAUACCGCGUGGGUGAAGAAGGCCUUCGGGUUGUAAAGCCCUUUUGUUGGGGAAGAAAAGCAGCAGGUUAAUACCCCGCUGUUCUGACGGUACCCAAAGAAUAAGCACCGGCUAACUUCGUG